GGAGAAGUGCCCGAGAGGCUGAAGGGAGCAGUUUGCUAAACUGUCGUACGCGCAAGUGUACCGCGGGUUCGAAUCCCGCCUUCUCCG
rnacentral:tRNA from 2 species